rnacentral:rRNA from 1 species
GGACGAACGCUGGCGGCGUGCUUAACACAUGCAAGUCGAACGGUGAAGCGCCUUCCUUUUUGGUGGGUGUGGAUGAGUGGCGAACGGGUGAGUAACACGUGAGUAACCUGCCCCCUUCUUCUGGAUAACCGCAUGAAAGUGUGGCUAAUACGGGAUAUUCUGGGUCUGUCGCAUGAUGGGUCUGGGAAAGAUAUUGUUUCGGUGGGGGAUGGGCUCGCGGCCUAUCAGCUUGUUGGUGGGGUGAUGGCCUACCAAGGCGGUGACGGGUAGCCGGCCUGAGAGGGUGGACGGUCACACUGGGACUGAGACACGGCCCAGACUCCUACGGGAGGCAGCAGUGGGGAAUAUUGCACAAUGGGCGCAAGCCUGAUGCAGCGACGCCGCGUGAGGGAUGGAGGCCUUCGGGUUGUGAACCUCUUUCGCCAGUGAAGCAGGCCUGCCUCGUUUGUGGGUGGGUUGACGGUAGCUGGAGAAGAAGCGCCGGCUAACUACGUG